CGGGCAGUAGCUCAACGGUAGAGCUUUCGCCUCACAUGCGGAAUGACCAGGGUUGACCUCCAGCUGCCUCA
rfam:Toxocara canis scaffold51, whole genome shotgun sequence.